CUCCGCCUCCGGGUUACGUGAUGCUGCGUCAGGCUUUACUUGCUCUGCGUGUUGCUGAGACCAUUAUUUUGGCAAAACGGUCACGCAACAUUACUCCAGUGCAGCCUCUGUUGUAUUGAGGAGACUUGGCUUCCACACUUACAGUCCUUGGGCCAAAAACAUGAGAAGUUCUGCUGCUUCUUCCCCGUCACGGAGAACUGACAAAGCCUUCCUGGUAAAAGGGGCCCCAGAUUUAAUUCCUUUCCAACACACAUUUUUAUACAACUAGCCUGAUCCAGUGGAAACGCGACCCAGACAUUACUCUCCUUCCUUUGCCGCUGAUGUGUACAAGCCUCUGAUGGGGCAUCAACAAUGAUUCAAGAUAUAUACAAGCAUCCCAGAUUUCUUAUACAAUGAGAACAAGUGAGCACCUGUGCCUCAGGUACAUAAGAUGCACUUAAAUGCACUUAAUAAAAAAUAAAUAUAAUGAUACUGGCACCAUACUCAGAUUUUCUCUCCCUUUCUGUGGCUUUUAUUUUCAACAACCAUCCAUCACCUUAUGUUUAUCUAUGCUAGCCUCUUAUUCUUCCCUCCUUUCCAUUUUGUUUCCUUUUAUGC